ACGCCUGGACUCAAAUUCCUUGGAUGGGAUAGUGCCUCAAAACAUCACGAAUCUCAAAAGUGUUAGUAAGCUAUACUUGUUGAACAACAAACUGAGUGGACAUGUUCCAAAUCUCACAGGAAUGGUUUCCCUCUUUUAUGUGGACAUGAGCAAUAAUAGUUUGAUGCAUCAGAUAUUCCAACAUGGUUCACAGAACUUCCAUCUUUAACAACAUUAUUAAUGGAGAAGACUCAACUUCAAGGAGAAAUCCCAUCAACUCUCUUCCAACCUCAGUUGGAAAAAAUUGGUGCUAAGCAACAAUGGUCUUAACGGAAUACUAGACGUGAGAAACACCUAUAGCAGUGAAUUGAAUGUUGAUUUGACAAACAAUUCAAUUGUUGACUUCACUCAAAAAUCUGUAUAUAAUAUGAGCUUAAAUCUUGCAAGUAAUCUAGUUUGUGAAGGAGGAGCAACAGGAAGAUAUUGUGCAACUGGAAAGACCAAUAUAGCAAGCCGUUUACCAUCAAAUAGUUGUAUUAAUCCUAUAGCAAGGUACGUGUAUAAAUUGUGAAAAUGGGAUGCCUAUUUCUAUUUUGAAGAGACAUGUAGGUGUUGUUUCUGCCAUUACGUUUAUCCGAGGCAUAGUUCUGUUUUCUAGCUUUUAUACAAAACGAACAAAUUUGCCCUCAUUUGACUUUCUCAUUAAUUAUAACUACAUAAUAUAUACAAUCUAAACUAAUUGUUCUUAACCUUGGGAGUCUGUGUAUUUAUAAAAGUAUGCUUUAUUGUAACAUAAAUCCUAUUUAUAGUUGGUAUCUCUUUACUUGUCUUAUAUUUUGACUUAUUUUGUGGUUCUCUUUGAGGCAUUAUCUGACUCAUGUGUUCUUUUUUGGUAGCCAUGGAUGAGAGAUUGAGCUCUUAUGCCCUUAUUGCACGAGUUGGUGUUGAAGUUACAAUCCCUUUGUCAUGUUACACCUUCUUUCUUCUUUUCCCAUUAACUGUUGUGGUCCCUGUAUGGAUAAAAUAAUAAUGGCAAAAAUUGAAGAAAAAAAACAAGUAGACAUUUUCUGUAUUAAGAAAGUCAAACCAAAACAACACAUGAAUUGGAGAUUUUCUUUUUUACUUAUUUAUAUUUGUUUGUAUAUUAUUGCAGUUGAGUUUAACUGAUGGAGAAGAGUUGAAGUCGAGUACGAAGUAGAUGGUUGGUUCUAUGUGAAGAGCCUUUGGCACAAAAGUUGACGAUCACUGAUGAGGGAGGUUUGAAAAUACUCUUCUAUAGGGGAAAGGAAAGUGAAGAGGAAGCAAUGAAAAAACAAACAUUAAAAAGGAGAAGGAAUGUUCAUUUGACUUUUCAUUUCUUAGAUGUAAGUUAAUUUAUAUAAUUUAGUUUUAAGUUAUCAUACAACUUUAUUUACAAUAAUUGUAUUGUACAAAGAAGGAAUGUUCAUUUGACAUAAUAUUGCAAUA